GGGAAGUNCCGACUUUGGAAGGGAUGUAUUUAUUAGAUAAGAAACCCAACCCGGCUUGCGUUGCGUGCUGAGUCACAAUAACUGCUCGAAUCGCAUGGCCUUGUGCCGGCGAUGUUCAUUCAAAUUUCUGCCCUAUCAGCUUUCGAUGGUAGGAUCGAGGCCUACCAUGGCGUUUACGGGUAACGGAGAAUUAGGGUUCGAUUCCGGAGAGGAUGCCUGAGAAAUGGCUACCACAUCCAAGGAAGGCAGCAGGCGCGUAAAUUGCCCGAAUCCUGACACAGGGAGGUAGUGACAAGAAAUAACAAUACAGGGCUAUUUUAGUCUUGUAAUUGGAAUGAGUACAAUUUACAUCUCUUCACGAGGAUCAAUUGGAGGGCA
rnacentral:rRNA from 1 species